GCCGGAGUAGCUCAGCUGGCAGAGCACUCGCCUUGUAAGCGAGCGGUCGAGGGUUCGAGCCCCUCCUCCGGCU
rnacentral:tRNA from 1 species